ensembl:lncRNA
CAUUAGAUGCUUCUUUUAAAAACUUACUGACUCCAGAUUUUUAAAUGGUAUAGUAUAUCAUUUUCAUUUUACAGCUCUGUAUGUUAACAGUUUGCUCACUUAUGUCUGUUGUCAUUUCUCCAAAAGAAUUUUAGAGGAAACAUCUGAAAUGGCAAAUAAUUUGAACGAGGUAAAAAAAAAAAAAAAAAAGCAAUACAACUUUCCUGUAGUCUGGUGGAGUGAAUUGUGUGUGCAGAUGUACCUGACGCAGCACGGUACGCCGGAGCACUCUGAAUUUCUGUGACUGUGGUCGGCUGCAUUACUGAAGGAGCUGGAAGUGGGUUUGUGGCUUUUGUUCUGUUUACAGCCAUCAGUGCUUUUGUGAUUGUUUGUACUUAGAGAAGGGUGGAGUGUACGGUAAAUGCCUCCUGUUGGCCAGCCGCACAGCAGGGAGCGCUGGCCACAGAAACCCUGGAGAUGUGCAAGUCAAGAUGAGGGUCAGGGGUCAGUAGCAGUUUCUCAUUCUAUUUCUUCAAAGCAACAGGCAGCAGGCAGGGACACAGUGUAGACAUCUCCACCUGAGCCACUGCAGAGCAUUGUGGGUAACCAUCUUCUCCAUCACCAACCACUCCUGUGCGAUCGUUACAGACGCUCAGGUCCAGAGUGAACCCUCUGCUAACACACACACACACAUACACGCUCAUCAUACACUCAGUUGUGGUUUACUCAGGCACUUAGUCGUCCUGUGAGCUCCUCUGAGCAGUCAUAACUGCCCAACCUGAUCUAGUUCUCCAUUCCUUCUCUCUCUUUUACAGACUUCCUGUGUUCAUCAAUCAAGAAAACCAAAGAGAAGUGAGUGGGAAUCGUGGCCAGAGACCUUAACCUCAAAGCUACAGUAAUGCAGAAAGCCUCUUUGCUGGAUGUCUCAAGUACCAAUGGCACUCCUGUAUAAAAAGCAAUGGCAUCAAUAAUUAAGCACUGAUUAGGUUUAAUAUUUAAUGUUGGCGACAUGUAAUUUACACAUGCAAACCAGAAAUCCGGAGCUGCCGACUGAAAUAAACAACUCUAUUUCUGUAUGGGUGACCUGAAA